rnacentral:rRNA from 1 species
AUUGAACGCUGGCGGCAGGCCUAACACAUGCAAGUCGAACGAGUGGCGGACGGGUGAGUAAUGUCUGGGAAACUGCCUGAUGGAGGGGGAUAACUACUGGAAACGGUAGCUAAUACCGCAUACCAUCAGAUGUGCCCAGAUGGGAUUAGCUUGUUGGUGGGGUAACGUCUCACCAAGGCGACGAUCCCUAGCUGGUCUGCGAGGAGGACCAGCAACACUGGAACUGAAGCACGGUCCAGACGCCUACGGGAGGCAGCAGUGGGGAAUUGUGCACAAUGGGGGCAAGACUGAUGCAGCCAUGCCGCGUGUAUGAAGAAGGCCUUCGGGUUGUAAAGUACUUUCAGCGGGGAAGCGUUACCCGCAGAAUAAGCACCGGCUAACUCCGUGCCAGCCGCCGCGGUAAUUC